AUUACAUUAUCACUAAUCUUCCAAACAUAUAAAGUGUUUGUCCUGUUAUUUUCAGCCAGGGAAAGUUUCAAAAGCUUCUUGUGUACAUCCAAAACUGAUUUUACUGAAGGUGGUAGAACAGUUCCUUAAAGAAAUGGAUGGUGGUAAAAGGGACCUAUAUUACUGGCAUGCUUACAAUGGGAGUUAUCUCCCUCAUACCUUAUUUUUCCUGGGUAAGAAGGUGAACCUAACUUAAACUUGUCCGUACAGGAGAAAAGACUCCCAGCAGGAGCAAGUGCUUUACUGAAACUAGAAGAGUUUGUGGCCAAGUUCAUCAGCAUAUACCAGAAGAGUGCCAACAGUUGUCAGUGUGUUUAGUGUAUACAGC